rnacentral:rRNA from 1 species
AUACGUAGGUGGCAAGCGUUGUCCGGAAUUAUUGGGCGUAAAGCGCGCGCAGGCGGGAUGUCAAGUCUGUCUUAAAAGUGCGGGGCUCAACCCCGUGAUGGGAUGGAAACUGGCAUUCUUGAGUGUCGGAGAGGAAAGUGGAAUUCCUAGUGUAGCGGUGAAAUGCGUAGAUAUUAGGAGGAACACCAGUGGCGAAGGCGACUUUCUGGACGAUGUCUGACGCUGAGGCGCGAAAGCCAGGGGAGUGAACGGGAUUAGAUACCCCGGUAAUCCUGGCCGUAAACGAUGGGUACUAGGUGUAGAGGGUAUCGACCCCUUCUGUGCCGGAGUUAACGCAAUAAGUACCCCGCCUGGGGAGUACGGCCGCAAGGUUGA